rnacentral:rRNA from 1 species
AAAUUGAAGAGUUUGAUCAUGGCUCAGAUUGAACGCUGGCGGCAGGCCUAACACAUGCAAGUCGAACGGUAACAGGAAACAGCUUGCUGUUUCGCUGACGAGUGGCGGACGGGUGAGUAAUGUCUGGGAAACUGCCUGAUGGAGGGGGAUAACUACUGGAAACGGUAGCUAAUACCGCAUAACGUCGCAAGACCAAAGAGGGGGACCUUCGGGCCUCUUGCCAUCGGAUGUGCCCAGAUGGGAUUAGCUAGUAGGUGGGGUAACGGCUCACCUAGGCGACGAUCCCUAGCUGGUCUGAGAGGAUGACCAGCCACACUGGAACUGAGACACGGUCCAGACUCCUACGGGAGGCAGCAGUGGGGAAUAUUGCACAAUGGGCGCAAGCCUGAUG